CCUACGGGAGGCAGCAGUGGGGAAUAUUGGACAAUGGGGGGAACCCUGAUCCAGCCAUGCCGCGUGUGUGAAGAAGGCCCUCGGGUUGUAAAGCACUUUCAGUGAGGAAGAACGCCUGGUGGUUAAUACCCAUCAGGAAAGACAUCACUCACAGAAGAAGCACCGGCUAACUCCGUGCCAGCAGCCGCGGUAAUACGGAGGGUGCGAGCGUUAAUCGGAAUUACUGGGCGUAAAGCGCGCGUAGGUGGCUUGAUAAGCCGGUUGUGAAAGCCCCGGGCUCAACCUGGGAACGGCAUCCGGAACUGUCAAGCUAGAGUGCAGGAAAGGAAGGUAGAAUUCCCGGUGUAGCGGUGAAAUGCGUAGAGAUCGGGAGGAAUACCAGUGGCGAAGGCGGCCUUCUGGACUGACACUGACACUGAGGUGCGAAAGCGUGGGUAGCAAACAGGAUUAGAUACCCUGGUAGUC
rnacentral:rRNA from 1 species